AAUCAACGCUGGCGGCGUGCCUCAGACAUGCAAGUCGAACGAUUAAGACUUCCUUCGGGAAGUGCAUAAAGUGGCGCACGGGUGAGUAACACGUAAGUAAUCUACCUUUGAGUGGGGAAUAACCCGGGGAAACCCGAGCUAAUACCGCAUAAUGCAGCGGCAUCGCAAGAUGACAGUUGUUAAUGGAGCAAUCCGCUUAAAGAGGAGCUUGCGGCAGAUUAGCUAGUUGGUAAGGUAAUGGCUUACCAAGGCUACGAUCUGUAUCCGGUCUAAGAGGACGGUCGGACACACUGACACUGAAUAACGGGUCAGACUCCUACGGGGGGCAGCAGUCGGGAAUUUUGGGCAAUGGGCGAAAGCCUGACCCAGCAACGCCGCGUGAAGGAUGAAGUAUUUCGGUAUGUAAACUUCGAAAGAAUAGGAAGAAUAAAUGACGGUACUAUUUAUAAGCUCCGGCUAACUACGUGUCAGCAGCCGCAGUAAAAC
rnacentral:rRNA from 1 species